rnacentral:rRNA from 1 species
ACGGGAGGCAGCAGUGGGGAAUAUUGGGCAAUGGGGGAAACCCUGACCCAGCAACGCCGCGUGAAGGAAGAAGGCCUUCGGGUUGUAAACUUCUUUUACCAGGGACGAAGAAUGACGGUACCUGGAGAAAAAGCAACGGCUAACUACGUGCCAGCAGCCGCGGUAAUACGUAGGUGGCGAGCGUUAUCCGGAUUUACUGGGUGUAAAGGGCGCGUAGGCGGGGAUGCAAGUCAGAUGUGAAAUCCAUGGGCUUAACUCAUGGACUGCAUUUGAAACUGUAUCUCUUGAGUGUCGGAGAGGUAGAUGGAAUUCCUAGUGUAGCGGUGAAAUGCGUAGAUAUUAGGAGGAACACCAGUGGCGAAGGCGAUCUACUGGACGAUAACUGACGCUGAGGCGCGAAAGCGUGGGGAGCAAACAGGAUUAGAUACCCUGGUA